UACGUAGGGGGCAAGCGUUGUCCGGAUUUAUUGGGCGUAAAGAGCGUGUAGGCGGUUAGGUAGGUCCGUUGUGAAAACUCGAGGCUCAACCUCGAGACGCCGAUGGAAACCAUCUGACUAGAGUCCGGUAGGGGAGCAUGGAAUUCCUGGUGUAGCGGUGAAAUGCGCAGAUAUCAGGAGGAGCACCGAUGGCGAAGGCAGGUCUCUGGGCAUUAACUGACGCUGAGGAGCGAAAGCAUGGGGAGCGAACAGG
rnacentral:rRNA from 1 species